GACGAACGCUGGCGGCGUGCUUAACACAUGCAAGUCGAACGGAAAGGCCCUGCUUUUGUGGGGUGCUCGAGUGGCGAACGGGUGAGUAACACGUGAGUAACCUGCCCUUGACUUUGGGAUAACUUCAGGAAACUGGGGCUAAUACCGGAUAGGAGCUCCUGCUGCAUGGUGGGGGUUGGAAAGUUUCGGCGGUUUGGGAUGGACUCGCGGCUUAUCAGCUUGUUGGUGGGGUAGUGGCUUACCAAGGCUUUGACGGGUAGCCGGCCUGAGAGGGUGACCGGCCACAUUGGGACUGAGAUACGGCCCAGACUCCUACGGGAGGCAGCAGUGGGGAAUAUUGCACAAUGGGCGGAAGCCUGAUGCAGCAACGCCGCGUGCGGGAUGACGGCCUUCGGGUUGUAAACCGCUUUCGCCUGCGACGAAGCGUGAGUGACGGUAAUGGGUAAAGAAGCACCGGCUAACUACGUG
rnacentral:rRNA from 1 species